GGAAUAUUGGACAAUGGGCGCAAGCCUGAUCCAGCAAUGCCGCGUGAGUGAAGAAGGCCUUAGGGUUGUAAAGCUCUUUCACCCACGACGAUGAUGACGGUAGUGGGAGAAGAAGCCCCGGCUAACUCCGUGCCAGCAGCCGCGGUAAUACGGAGGGGGCUAGCGUUGUUCGGAAUUACUGGGCGUAAAGCGCACCUAGGCGGCGCGAACAGUCAGAGGUGAAAGGCCUGGGCUCAACCUAGGAACUGCCUUUGAUACUAGCGUGCUUGAGUCCGGAAGAGGGUGGCGGAAUUCCCAGUGUAGAGGUGAAAUUCGUAGAUAUUGGGAAGAACACCGGUGGCGAAGGCGGUCACCUGGUCCGGUACUGACGCUGAGGUGCGAAAGCGUGGGGAGCAA
rnacentral:rRNA from 1 species